UACAGAGGGUGCGAGCGUUAAUCGGAAUUACUGGGCGUAAAGGGCGAGUAGGCGGCCUCCUAAGUCAGACGUGAAAUCCCCCGGCUUAACCUGGGAACUGCGUCUGAUACUGGGAAGCUUGAGUAUGGGAGAGGAAGGUAGAAUUCCAGGUGUAGCGGUGAAAUGCGUAGAUAUCUGGAGGAAUACCGGUGGCGAAGGCGGCCUUCUGGACCAUAACUGACGCUGAUCCGCGAAAGCUAGGGGAGCAAACGGG
rnacentral:rRNA from 1 species